rnacentral:lncRNA from 1 species
CUUAGCUUCAUCAAGAUCAGAGGUUAGAUAAUUUACCUUCUUCUGGAGCUCAUCCAUCUUUGACAUAUUUUCAAUUUUCUCUACCUUCAUUUGAUUGAUGGUUACCUUUUGUUUCUCGAUAACUCUGCAUAUUUCUUCACUCUUGAAAUAUAGUUCUCUGUAGGAAUCAGCAAGUUCUUCGUAGGUUACCUCUCCAUCACAAGACUCAUUAUCAGAGUCAUACUUUCCUGUAAAGGCC